AGUGAACGCUGGCGGUAGGCCUAACACAUGCAAGUCGAACGGCAGCACAGUAAGAGCUUGCUCUUACGGGUGGCGAGUGGCGGACGGGUGAGGAAUACAUCGGAAUCUACUUUUUCGUGGGGGAUAACGUAGGGAAACUUACGCUAAUACCGCAUACGACCUACGGGUGAAAGCAGGGGAUCUUCGGACCUUGCGCGAUUGAAUGAGCCGAUGUCGGAUUAGCUAGUUGGCGGGGUAAAGGCCCACCAAGGCGACGAUCCGUAGCUGGUCUGAGAGGAUGAACAGCCACACUGGAACUGAGACACGGUCCAGACUCCUACGGGAGGCAGCAGUGGGGAAUAUUGGACAAUGGGCGCAAGCCUGAUCCAGCCAUACCGCGUGGGUGAAGAAGGCCUUCGGGUUGGAAAGCCCUUUUGUUGGGAAAGAAAAGCAGCAGGUUAAUACCCCGCUGUUCUGACGGUACCCAAAGAAUAAGCACCGGCUAACUUCGUG
rnacentral:rRNA from 1 species